UACGAAGGGGGCUAGCGUUGUUCGGAAUCACUGGGCGUAAAGCGCACGUAGGCGGAUCUUUAAGUCAGGGGUGAAAUCCCGAGGCUCAACCUCGGAACUGCCUUUGAUACUGGGGAUCUCGAGUCCGGGAGAGGUGAGUGGAACUGCGAGUGUAGAGGUGAAAUUCGUAGAUAUUCGCAAGAACACCAGUGGCGAAGGCGGCUCACUGGCCCGGAACUGACGCUGAGGUGCGAAAGCGUGGGUAGCAAACAGG
rnacentral:rRNA from 1 species